GACGAACGCUGGCGGCGUGCUUAACACAUGCAAGUCAAACGGUAAGGCCCUUCGGGGUACACGAGUGGCGAACGGGUGAGUAACACGUGGGUGAUCUGCCCUGCACUUCGGGAUAAGCCUGGGAAACUGGGUCUAAUACCGGAUAGGACCACUGCCCGCAUGGGUGGUGGGGGAAAGCUUUUGCGGUGUGGGAUGGGCCCGCGGCCUAUCAGCGUGUUGGGGGGGUGAUGGCCUACCAAGGCGACGACGGGUAGCCGGCCUGAGAGGGUGACCGGCCACACUGGGACUGAGAUACGGCCCAGACUCCUACGGGAGGCAGCAGUGGGGAAUAUUGCACAAUGGGCGCAAGCCUGAUGCAGCGACGCCGCGUGAGGGAUGACGGCCUUCGGGUUGUAAACCUCUUUCAGCACCGACGAAGCGCAAGUGACGGUAGGUGCAGAAGAAGGACCGGCCAACUACGUGCCAGCCGCCGCCGUAA
rnacentral:rRNA from 1 species